rnacentral:lncRNA from 10 species
UAGCUGGGACUACAGGCGCCUGCCACCAUGCGUGGCUAAUUUUUUGUAUUUUUAGUAGAGACAGGGUUUCACCAUGUUGGCCAGGCUGGUCUUGGCCACGUGACCUCAACUGAUCUGCCUGCCUCGGCUUCCCAAAGUGCUGGGAUUACAGGCGUGAGCCACUGCGCCCGGCCGUCUUUGAUCUUUCUUAAAAGUGCAUAGAAGAAAACGCUGACGUAUGCUGCCUUCCCUCUCUGCUCCCGCUACCUGUAAGGGAAGGGCCCCUGUCCUAUGGUCACAUGACUUGCUUGACCUUAUCAAUCACUUGGACAACUCACCGUUCUUACCCUGCCCCCUUGUCUUGUAUGCAAUCAAUAUCAGCGUGCCCAGCCAUUCGGGGCCACUACCGGUCUCCGCAUCUUGGUGGUAGUGGUUCCCCGGGCACAGCUGUUUUCUCUCUAUCUCUUUGUCUUGUGUAUUUAUUUCUUCCGGUCUCUCGUCUCCACACACGGGGAGAACACCCGCCAAGCCCCGUAGGGCUGGACCCUCCAUGAUAGAAGUCAUGCUUUUAAUCAAAUGCAACCAAUUCAGAAUGGCAAAUUAGGAUAUAUACCCUUUCCCAAAUCCAGUAUCCCAGGAGAAAUUACGGUACGGUAAUUAAUCCCCCUCCUCCCGCCAAGCUAAACCUCAGAGAAGUUGAAGUUCUAAAGUUCAAGUCCAAAAAUACUGGGAAGGGAAAAACAAACAAAAAAACCGAGGAAACAAACAUCAGGGAAAAACCCAGAACCUCGUCAUGAAAAUAGUGUCCUGUCGCUCUGUUUCUGAUUUGCAGCUCACAGCUCGUGUUUCACCCCAGCCUCUGGGGCCGGCUCUGUGCCUGGCCUGAGGCCGAUUCACUGGCUCAGUCCACAGAGUUGGGCCUGGCUUCCUGCCCUGGAAACCAGUCGAAGGUUCUCCAUAGGAACCUGCCGGGCAGACACAGGGAUUUGCUGGUUCUCCAGCAGUGAGUCUGAGAUGAAACUGGUGUCUAUUCGCAGUCUGAUACUUUGCUUUAACAAAAAAACAAAAAGCCAGAAAAACAAAAACAAAACUGGGCUUUGAUUUGUUUAGAAAGAGAUCUUUCUGAGCGUCUUCUGCUCUCAUGGCCUGGGUGCCGCCCACCAAUAGCAGCUCGGGCUGGGCCUUCGUUUCCCAGCUGGGGGGACCUUUCAGCCCCUCUAGAGGUAAAGUAACACACCCAAAGUCUCUCUUCUUUAAAAAGGGCUCAGAGUCACUGGGUGAAUAUGAAUUUCAUAUCAUUACCUGUUGAGGUUGCCCAGGUUCUUGGUUUCUUGAACAAAGAACUGGACAAAACCCACAAAGGAAGGAAGGAAUGAAGAGAUUUACUGAAAAGGAAAGUACACGCCACAGCGUGGGAGCGGCCGGAGCAUGGGGCUCAAGGGCCCCAUUACAGAAUUUUGGGGAGUUUAAAUACCUUCUAGAGGAUUCCGUUGGUUACUUGGUGUACGCCCUCUGUAAAUGGAGAGGAUGAAGUAAAGUUACAAAGUCAUUUACUGGGUGCAGGCCCUAUGGAGAGGAUAUUUCCUGUCAUAGCUGAGGUGUGAAUCGGUCUUAUGUUCCCUGUCUCCAGGCCUUGUUUUCCUGCCUCACUAGCACCAGGCACACAGUCACACAAGGUGGAAAAUGGACUCCGUGUGCCUCCAAGGUGAACACCCUGGCUCUCAGGAGCAGAGACCUAGUGGCAUCCCAGGGAGAGUGGAGAGACAGGGAGAGAAAUGUUCUGGCUGGUCCAGAGGGCGAAACAGCAGAGACUGUUCUGUCAGAGGCAUGUGAACCAGAGCAACUCCAUCUUGAUUAGGAGCUGGGUAAGAUGAGGCUGAGACUUGCUGGGCUGCAUCCCCGGACGGUUAAGGCAUUCUAAGUCACAGGAUGACAUAGGAGGUCGGCAAUAGCUACAGGUCAUAAAGACCUUGCUGAUAAAACAGUUUGGAGUAAAGAAGCCGGACAAAGCCCUCCAAAACCAAGAUGGUGUCGAGAGUGACCUCUGGUCGUCCUCAGCGCUACACUCCCACCAAGGUCCUGACAGUUUACAGAUCCAUGGCAAGGUCAGGAAGUUUCUCUACAUGGUCUAAAAGGGGAGGCAUGAAUUAUCCACCCCUCGUUUAGCAUAUCAUCAAGAAAUAACCGUAAAAAUGGGCAGCCCGCAGCUCUCGGGGCCGCUCUGUCUAUGGAGUAGCCAUUCUUGAUUCCUUUACUUUCCUAAUAAACUAACUUGCUUUCUUUUUUUUUUUUUUGAGACGGAGUCUCGCUGUCGCCCAGGCUGGAGUGCAGUGUCGCGAUCUCGGCUCACUGCAGGCUCCGCCCCCCGGGGUUCAUGCCAUUCUCCUGCCUCAGCCUCCCGCGUAGCUGGGACUACAGGCGCCCGCCACCACGCCCAGCUAAUUUUUUUUUUUUUGUAUUUUUAGUAGAGACGGGGUUUCACCGUGUUAGCCAGGAUGGUCUCGAUCUCCUGACCUCGUGAUCCGCCCGCCUUGGCCUCCCAAAGUGGUGGGAUUACAGGCGUGAGCCACUGCGCCCGGCCAACUUGCUUUCACUUUAUGGACUCCCCCUGAUUUCUUUCUUGCAUGAGAUCCAGGAACCCUCUCUCGGGGUCUGGAUCGGGACCCCUUUCCGGUAACAUCUUUCUGGCGACCACAGAAGAAAAACUGCAGACUCAAAACCUAGCGUUGGGGACAAUACUGAGGAGGAGCCCCCGACCCAAAGGAAAUAGACUCGGCCCUGACUGGACGACGCUGGGUAAGUGGUGGGGUAGCCGGCGAAGGAUGGGAUUGGGUGAGAGGCCCACUUAGGGGAGUUAGGGUCUGUCCUAAGACAGAGAGGGUGAAAGCCCACUCUUAAUACAAGGCAAGGAUGCUUGACCCACCUUGGGUUAGAGACCCACCUUAGGAGGGUUGGUUAGGGUCCCUUUUAAGAUUUAGGGGCUUAGAGAGCCCCCUCAGUAAAGUCCCUCUCAGAAAAGUCCCUCUCGGCUGAGAACGGGUUCGGCACGAGGGGACGUUAACGGCUAUUCUCUUUGGGUUAAUCUGCCUUGCACUCUCUGCUGACGGCUGUGGGUGACAGGAUUAGGCACGUACAGGAUCGUGGAACAUGGGGAGCUUUCUCCUCUCGCAAAAGGGGAACCUGAGAGCUGAUGGGACUGCCGGAAAAAGUCCCUUCCCAACAGCAGCCGCCUGAAGUCCUCAGGGUUCCUGCAAUGGGCGGGUCUUUCUCUGGCCUCCCUGAGCAUUUUGCCUUCCCCACCCUGCCUCAGGCGAUGCUUUUCUCUCUCUCCUUUCUCUUUUUUAUCUUUUCUAUCACUUGGGGCAACCGACUUGCCCAGAGAACACGUGUUGAAACUUGUGGUUGGAGGUUGGAUUAACGAUGACCGGAGCAAGUUUGAGCCUUGCCAGUGUGAUGUUAGGUGCUAAGCAGAGUGGCUGAUGUCUCUGUUUUCUCACACGUAUUUUGCCCUGGCCAGAACGGAAAGAGAGAAAGAAGUUAAAAGGCAGAAAUGAAAUCCACAAGCAGACAGCCCAACGCCACACCCUGGGCCUGGUAGUUAAAGAUCGACCGCUGGCUGAUCUAAUCGGUUAUAUUACCUAUAGAUUCCAGACAUUGUAUAGAAAAGCACUGUGAAAACCCCGUCCCGUCCUGUUCUGAUUACCGGUGCAUGCAGCCCCCAGUCACAUACCCCCUGCUUGCUCAAUCGAUCACGACCCUCUCACGUGGACCCUCUUAGAGUUGUGAGCCCUGAAGAGGGACAGGAAUUGCUCACUCGGGGAGCUCGGCUGUUGAAGAUUUGACUCUUGCCAAAGCUCCCGGCCGAAUAAAGCCCUUCUUUAACUCGGUGUCUGAGGGGUUUUGUCUGCAGCUAGUCCUGCUACAGUUGGGUCACUAGGGCCCCCCAGGAAAAGAAACCCAGAAAUCUGUCAUGCUGGCACAAGUGCAAGAACUGCUCACCAGUCAGACUUCUGUCUCUGUGUGUGUGUGUGUGUGUGUGUGUUGUGUGUGUGGGUGUGUGUAUGGUGUGUGUGUGUGGGGUGUGUGUGGGUGUGUAUGUGGUGU